rnacentral:rRNA from 1 species
AGUGAACGCUGGCGGUAGGCCUAACACAUGCAAGUCGAACGGCAGCACAGUAAGAGCUUGCUCUUACGGGUGGCGAGUGGCGGACGGGUGAGGAAUACAUCGGAAUCUACUUUUUCGUGGGGGAUAACGUAGGGAAACUUACGCUAAUACCGCAUACGACCUACGGGUGAAGGCAGGGGAUCUUCGGACCUUGCGCGAUUGAAUGAGCCGAUGUCGGAUCAGCUAGUUGGCGGGGUAAAGGCCCACCAAGGCGACGAUCCGUAGCUGGUCUGAGAGGAUGAUCAGCCACACUGGAACUGAGACACGGUCCAGACUCCUACGGGAGGCAGCAGUGGGGAAUAUUGGACAAUGGGCGCAAGCCUGAUCCAGCCAUACCGCGUGGGUGAAGAAGGCCUUCGGGUUGUAAAGCCCUUUUGUUGGGAAAGAAAAGCAGCAGGUUAAUACCCCGCUGUUCUGACGGUACCCAAAGAAUAAGCACCGGCUAACUUCGUG